AUGAACGCUGGCGGCGUGCCUAAUACAUGCCGGUCGAGCGAACGGACGAGAAGCUUGCUUCUCUGAUGUUAGCGGCGGACGGGUGAGUAACCCGUGGAAAACCUACCUAUAAGACUGGGAUAACUUCGGGAAACCGGAGCUAAUACCGGAUAAUAUUUUGAACCGCAUGGUUCAAAAGUGAAAGACGGUCUUGCUGUCACUUAUAGAUGGAUCCGCGCUGCAUUAGCUAGUUGGUAAGGUAACGGCUUACCAAGGCAACGAUGCAUAGCCGACCUGAGAGGGUGAUCGGCCACACUGGAGCUGAGACACGGUCCAGACUCCUGCGAGAGGCAGCAGUAGGGAAUCUUCCGCAAUGGGCGAAAGCCUGACGGAGCAACGCCGCGUGAGUGAUGAAGGUCUUCGGAUCGUAAAACUCUGUUAUUAGGGAAGAACAUAUGUGUAAGUAACUGUGCACAUCUUGACGGUACCUAAUCAGAAAGCCACGGCUAACUACGUG
rnacentral:rRNA from 1 species